rfam:Leptolyngbya sp. PCC 7376, complete genome.
GGAUGCAUAGCUCAGUGGAUAGAGCAACCGCCUUCUAAGCGGUCGGUCGUAGGUUCAAAUCCUACUGCGUCCG